UGACAGUUUCAGUAAACCACGGAGACGAACGGAUUACGGGCCGUAACAGCUCUCUGGGAACAAAGCGCAGCGUUCGAAGUAAUCGCCGUCGUCUUGGCUGUUGUUAAGCCACCACUCCAGCAUCCUCCCGCUUAAAAACAAAAACCAAAAACAAAAACAAAACAAAGCCCAAGGAACUCAAAAACCAAAAACAAAAAUAACACCAAGUAAUACUUAUAAAAAACAAAAACAAAAAAUUCAUCUUCUACUUGUUCUUCUGCUUCAACUUUCUUCGUCUUCGUCUCCGUUAUAAAUAUAUAUAUAUACAUAUAUCAUAUACAUACAUACAUAUAUAUCCGUGUGUGUGUGUGUUUGCGACGCGUGUGUACUGGUGCAUGUGAAUGUGUGAGCUACAACAAUCACUAAAACAACAACAACAACAA
rnacentral:sRNA from 1 species